rnacentral:rRNA from 1 species
CUCAGAAUGAACGUGGCGGGCGUGGAUUAGGCAUGCAAGUCGAGCGAGAAGUCCUUCGGGACGGACAGCGGCGAAAGGGAGAGGAAUACGUAGAAAUCUACCCCUGAGACCGGGAUAGCGUCGGGAAACUGGCAGUAAUACCGGAUAAUGUCUUAGGACCAAAGGUGUGAUUCCACUUGGGGAUGAGUCUACGCCCUAUUAGCUAGUUGGUGGGGUAAUGGCCUACCAAGGCGAUGAUGGGUAGCGGGUGUGAGAGCAUGAUCCGCCUCACUGGGACUGAGAACUGCCCAGACACCUACGGGUGGCUGCAGUCGAGAAUCUUUGUCAAUGGACGAAAGUCUGAACAAGCGACGCCGCGUGCGGGAUGAAGGCCUUCGGGUUGUAAACCGCUGUCGUAGGGGAACAAAUGUACGGGGGUACUCCCCUGUAUUUGAGUGAUCCUAGGAGGAAGGAGAGGCUAAGCUCGUGCCAGCAGCCGCGGUAAGACGAGCUCUCCAAACGUUAUUCGGUAUCACUGGGCUUAAAGAGUUCGUAGGCGGCCUAGCAGGUCAGGUGUGAAAUCCCACAGCUCAACUGUGGAAUAGCGCUUGAAACCGUUAGGCUUGAGGGAGAUAGAGGUAGGCGGAACAGAUGGUGGAGCGGUGAAAUGCGUUGAUAUCAUCUGGAACACCGGUGGCGAAAGCGGCCUACUGGGUCUUUUCUGACGCUGAGGAACGAAAGCUAGGGUAGCGAACGGGAUUAGAUACCCCGGUAGUCCUAGCCGUAAACGAUGAGCACUAGUCCGAGGGAACCCUCACAUUUUCUCGGACGUAGCGAAAGUGUUAAGUGCUCCCGCUGGGGAGUAUG